rnacentral:lncRNA from 1 species
AGCAUCUAACAAACUAUUUAUCAGCCAACUCAAACUAUUUUUUAGAAAAAAUUACAAACCGUUUUAAAAGGCCGUUAACAUGUUUUAUAACAGCUAAGUAGACAUUUUAUCAGCUAAUGAUAAUAUAUUUUGUGAAAAAAUCGGCAUCCACCGGUUUAGUAACAACUAACCAAACAUGCAUAUGCUCACAAUAUGUGAUUUGUAGCAUGUAAUCAAACAAUUAUCCGUUAACUUAAUAAAUAUC